rnacentral:rRNA from 1 species
UUUUGCUUGUCUCAAAGAUAAGCCAUGCAUGUCUAAGUAUAAGCAAUUAUACGGCGAAACUGCGAAUGGCUCAUUAAAUCAGUUAUUGUUUAUUUGAUAGUACCUUACUACUUGGAUAACCGUGGUAAUUCUAGAGCUAAUACAUGCUAAAAACCCCGACUUCGGGAGGGGUGUAUUUAUUAGAUUAAAAACCAACGCCCUUCGGGGCUCCUUGGUGAUUCAUGAUAACUUCUCGGAUCGCACGGCCUUGCGCCGGCGACGGUUCAUUCAAAUUUCUGCCCUAUCAACUUUCGACGGCUGGGUAUUGGCCAGCCGUGGUGACAACGGGUAACGGAGGGUUAGGGCUCGACCCCGGAGAAAACGCCUGAGAAACGGCGUUUACAUCCAAGGAAGGCAGCAGGCGCGCAAAUUACCCAAUGCCGACUCGGCGAGGUAGUGACGAUAAAUACUGGUACGGGGCUCUUUAGGGUCUCGUAACUGGAAUGAGUACAAUUUAAAUCCCUUAACGAGGAACAAUUGGAGGGCAAGUCUGGUGCCAGCAGCCGCGGUAAUUCCAGCUCCAAUAGCGUAUAUUAAAAUUGUUGAGAUUAAAAAGCUCGUAGUUGAACCUUGGGCCUGGCUGGCCGGUCCGCCUCACCGCGUGCACUGGUCCGGCCGGGCCUUUCCCUCCGGGGAUCCCCAUGCCCUUCGCUGGGCGUGGCGGGGAACCGGGACUUUUACUUUGAAAAAAUUAGAGUGUUCAAAGCAGGCCUAUGCUCGAAUACAUUAGCAUGGAAUAAUAGAAUAGGACGUGCGGUUCUAUUUUGUUGGUUUCUAGGACCGCCGUAAUGAUUAAUAGGGACAGUCGGGGGCGUCAGUAUUCAAUUGUCAGAGGUGAAAUUCUUGGAUUUAUUGAAGACUAACUACUGCGAAGGCAUUCGUCAAGGAUGUUUUCAUUAAUCAGGAACGAAAGUUAGGGGAUCGAAGACGAUCAGAUACCGUCGUAGUCUUAACCGUAAACUAUUAAGUCUAGGGAUCGGACGGUGUUAUUUUUUGACCCGUCCGGCACCUUACACGAAAGUAUAAGAGCUUAUUCUGGGGAAAAUACGGUAGCAAUACUGAAACUUAAGAUGAGA